AGAUCUUUUACCUGCAGACACAAAAACAUGGUUCUUGACUGUCACAUAAGCAACUGUGAUGAAUGAUGAUAUCACAAAGUUCUUCAUAUUGUAAGUGCUAAGGUGCAAUCUGCAGAAUGGUUAGAUCUUGUUACCAUGGGCAGUGGCAGAAAGUGUUAGAACAUAUGCUUUGCACUUUGAAGGGCCGGCUUGGCUCAGCGGUAAGCUUGCUUGCCGUGGUGUGUCAGGUCGCGGGUUCGAAUCAGCCUCUCUGCAAAAAGCAGGGGAAAGACUGCCUAGAGUAUUCCCUUCCCCAUACACUCACGAAGUGGGUAUUUGAACUGGGUCGGCCCUUUAUAUGCUUUGCACUUUAAUACAGGUGUGGAGCUAAAUGCAACAAUAAGUACUCAAGAUGAACGAAGAGCCUUUUCAAAGGAAUGAGAGUCUUGCAUUAUGGAACUGUCAAGGAUGAAAUAGCCGCAGAAGCCAAAUGAAGUUACUCCACAUAACAGUUUUAUGAUUUAAACUUUGCAGAUGAUAUGCCUAUAACAUCUGUGAUGCUAGCUCAUAUGGCAGUUAGCUUAACAAUAUCUGGUUGUGGACUGGAGGAUGUUUUUCUCAUUCAUGGCACUAAUGAAUGAAGGCAAAAUGCAAUCUCUGACAACUGCAUAAAUUUGUUAUACCAUUGUGUCAAUGAUGUCCAAAAUCUUGUAAAAUUUAGGAGUAUCAGUAUAGUAUAAGAUUUGUGUAAGACUAUUUUUUUCUUCUUCAAUUUUU